rnacentral:rRNA from 1 species
UAAGUCUCCUGAAGGAACGUUGAAGACGACGACGUUGAUAGGUCGGGUGUGUAAGCGUAGCGAUACGUUGAGCUAACCGAUACUAAUGAACCGUGAGGCUUAACCUU